rnacentral:pre_miRNA from 1 species
CUUGUACUCCCUCCGUCUGAAAAUACUUGUCAUUGAAAUGGAUGUAUCUAGAUGUAUUUUAGUUCUAGACACAUCCAUUUUGAUGACAAGUAAUUCCAGACAGAGGGAGUACUUU